GUUAGGGUUACUUAUUCUUAUUCUUUUCAUUUUCAUUUUCUUUUUCUUUUCUCUUCUCUUCUUUUUCCGUACAACGAAAAGAAGGGGAAGCUGAUAGGCAGGUAGGUAACCUUUCCGAUACAGGGGGAAAAAAAGAAAAAGAAAAAAAAAUACUAACUGGUAAAAUUGAUCCAAAAUCUCGAAAACGCCUCGCUGCGCAUCUCCUGCAGGCGAAAUAUAGGGGCUAGAAUAUCGCCCUUUCUAAAGACUGUCUCUAGAAAGACAGCAGUGAAUUCUGCCAGGGGGGAAAUGACGAAAAGCAAAAUUGGAAACCCUUAGACACUCCCGCAGUGGGAGCAUGAAGGGCCCAAUGAAUGAAGAUUUUGGUUAGCCGGUGAAUAUCCUUGUUUAGGGAGAAGGUCGCGUGUUUGGGUGUAGAUGAAGAGCGGCAAAAAAUGAGGACGCAGUUAUCAGUUAUGGUACUGUAUGAGUUGGCAUUGA
rnacentral:sRNA from 1 species